AGGAGGUGGAUAUUCACAGACAACCAGGAGGUUGGCUUAGAAGCAGCCAUACCUUGAAAGAGUGCGUAAUAGCUCACUGGUCGAGAGUAUCUGCGCCGAAGAUAUAACGGGGCUAAGACAUGAACCGAAGCCGCGGAAUUAGUUUAUGCUAAUUGGUAGGAGAGCGUUCUGUAGGCCGUAGAAGGGGUGUUGUAAGACAUUCUGGAGGUAUCAGAAGUGAGAAUGCAGGAAUGAGUAGCGAGAAGGAGGGCGAGAAUCCCUCCGGCCGGAAGUCCAAGGUUUCCAGGGGAAGGUUUGUCCGCCCUGGGGGAGUCGGGACCUAAGCAUAAGCAGAGCUGCGAAGGCGAAUGGAAAACAGGUUAAUAUUCCUGUACCGCUGUGUACUGACUGAGAGAUGGAGUGACGCAGGAAGGUAUGCGGGAAGGCUGACGGAAUAGCCUUUCUAAGGGUGAAGCGUGGACAUAUAGGCAAAUCCGUAUGUUUAAACGUGAGGCCUGACGGGUAAGUACCUUAGGGUAUAAGCCGCAGAUCCUACACUGCCGGGAAAAACUUCUAUUUAGGGAAGCAGCGCCCGUACUGUAAACCGACACAGGUGGACAGAGUGAGAAACUUAAGGCCGACAGGAUAACUCUGGCUAAGGAACUCUGCAAAAUGGCCCCGUAACUUAGGGAGAAGGGGUGCCUGAUAUACCUGAGAGGAGAGACACCUUAAGGGGAAACAGGCCGCAGUGAAGAGUCCCAAGCAACUGUUUACCAAAAACACAGGUCUAUGCUAAGCUGAAAGGCGACGUAUAUGGGCUGACACCUGCCCAGUGCCGGAAGGUUAAGGGGAGGACUGAGAGGUCCGAGCUGAAGCCCCGGUGAACGGCGGCCGUAACUAUAACGGUCCUAAGGUAGCGAAAUUCCUUGUCGGGUAAGUUCCGACCUGCACGAAUGGUGAAAUGAUUUGGGAGCUGUCUUGGCCGGAGACCUGGUGAAGUUGUAAUGCCGGUGAAGAUACCGGUUACCUGCAGUAGGACGGAAAGACCCCGUGGAGCUUUACUGUAGCCUGGCAUUGGGUUUCGGCAAUGUGUGUAUAGGAUAGCUGGGAGGCUAAGAAGAUAUGGCGUCAGCUGUAUUGGAGCCGCUGUUGGAAUACCAGCCACGCAUUGUUGGGAUUCUAAUCUCAAGAGAUGGGAGACAGUGCUAGGUGGGCAGUUUGACUGGGGCGGUCGCCUCCAAAAGAGUAACGGAGGCGUUCAAAGGUUCCCUCAGGCUGGAUGGAAAUCAGCCUAAGAGUGCAAACGCAUAAGGGAGCUUGACUGCAAGACUGACGGGUCGAGCAGGUACGAAAGUAGGAGUUAGUGAUCCGGCGGUUCCGUAUGGAAGGACCGUCGCUCAACGGAUAAAAGCUACCCCGGGGAUAACAGGCUGAUACUUCCCAAGAGUCCAUAUCGACGGAAGUGUUUGGCACCUCGAUGUCGGCUCGUCUCAUCCUGGGGCUGGAGAAGGUCCCAAGGGUUGGGCUGUUCGCCCAUUAAAGAGGCACGCGAGCUGGGUUCAGAACGUCGUGAGACAGUUCGGUCCCUAUCCACUGCAGGCGUCAGAAUAUUGAAGGGCUCUGUCCUUAGUACGAGAGGACCGGGAUGGACGGACCACUGAUGUACCGGUUGUCACGCCAGUGGCACGGCCGGGUAGUCACGUCCGGAAGGGAUAACCGCUGAAAGCAUCUAAGCGGGAAGCCCACCCUGAGAUGAAUGUUCUUUCAAGCAUCCGCCGAGAACAGGCGGUGAUAGGCCGGGGGUGCAAGCAUGGCGACAUGUUCAGCUGACCGGUACUAAUAAUGCGUAGGCUUACUUCA
rnacentral:rRNA from 1 species